UACGUAGGGUGCAAGCGUUGUCCGGAAUUAUUGGGCGUAAAGAGCUCGUAGGCGGUCUGUCGCGUCUGCUGUGAAAACUCAGGGCUUAACCCUGAGCUUGCAGUGGGUACGGGCAGACUAGAGUGCGGUAGGGGAGACUGGAAUUCCUGGUGUAGCGGUGAAAUGCGCAGAUAUCAGGAGGAACACCGGUGGCGAAGGCGGGUCUCUGGGCCGGUACUGACGCUGAGACGCGAAAGCGUGGGGAGCGAACAGG
rnacentral:rRNA from 1 species